GUAUUUCUCCAGCAAUUCAGUUGGUCUAAUAAAAUAUAUCAGAUUGACCUAAAGAACCUUGGCUGCCCAUGUCUUUAGACCAACAUGGCUACAACCUACACCCUCUAAUGCACACAAGUCAUAUGAGGGCUUUUUUCCAGCAGUUUGAGGUGCACUUUCACAGAAACGCCUGCCCCUGUCUCCUUGAAACUUGGCAGGCUUCAUGUCCUCAGAAGGGGCUACUAAUGUGAAUUUCUUGUGUGGAGGACAGAAAGGGAACAGAGUUAAGAGCAGUGUGUGUUACAGAAUGAAUCAAAGCUGGGCUCAAGACAGUGUAAGGAAAAACAUUUGGUGGAGUAUAGACUAGUUUUGAUUUCAGCACCUGGAAACUGGAGGAAAAAACUGGUAUGGCUUCAGUUCACAAAAAAGACCCUGUUUGGGAAUAUUUUCAAGAAAUUCUUGUCCCACUGGGAAAAAGAGGAACAUAUACCAAACGUAAACAGCGCAAGAGAUGCAAAACAGUACCUGAAUGGAGCAACGUUAUAAAAAAUGUUUCCCAGAAGGCAAUGAACUUGAAGAUGGUGAUGUGGACAUGUCUGAGCCAUCUGGAUCAACUGGGUCCAGCUUAACCAUAAGACAUUAUGAACAUUGAUCAUUUGCAAUGUCUGUAACUUCAGAAUCAUCUAUGGUAACACCAACCGUACUGCAACUAAACAUCUCAGACAGUGAACUAGUCUCUUUUUGGAUAAGGUGUCUUCAUUAUCACGUAAAACUAUGGAUGAGUUUAUAACCAGGACCAAAGUCCAGCAAGACAGCAUAGAUGAACAUAUUGCUCAGUUCAUUUAUGCAACAGUCUCACCCUUUUAUCUUGUUCAGCACAAACAUUUCAGUGAUGUGGUUCAGUCAUUAUGACAGGUUACGUUUCAUGCAGCAGAAUGGAUACCAUUAAAAUGCUUCUGGAUACAGUGAGACAAGGAAAUUCAGCAGUAUACAAAAAAAAUUGAAGGGAAAAGUUAAUUUGAGUUUUGAUAGAUGGUGCAGUUUACACAGUGAUCCAAAAAUAUAUUCUUGUGUGACAAAAGGCAGGAUUGUUUAUCUCUCAGAAACAAUUGAUGCAUCAGGAAAUGUCCAUACUGAAGAAAAUUUAAGAAGUAGCAGUAAAAGUUUUAUAACAAACCGUAUGUGUAGCCUUGUCACAGACAAUGCUGCAAAUGUAGAAAAAGAUGAGAAGAAACUUAAUGAAGAUAAACCUGAAAGUUAUAACACAUGAGUGCAGUGCUCAUUUGAUGCAUCUUUUAGCCAAAGAUGUACUUAAGUACUGCAGAAAUAAAGGAAAACAUUUAAAUUAGCAAAAUACUUCUGUUACAGCCAGUUUGCUUCAGCUUCACUGAAGAGAGCUGGAGGAUUCAAGCUGAUUCUCCCUCAAGUUGUAUUUUGGAAUUUAGUGGUUGACUGCUUUUGAGGCAUUUGUCAAAACCUGGUCUAUUCUGAUGACCACGUUUG